rnacentral:rRNA from 1 species
UACGUAGGGUGCGAGCGUUGUCCGGAAUUACUGGGCGUAAAGAGCUCGUAGGCGGUUUGUCGCGUCGUCCGUGAAAACUUGGGGCUCAACCCCAAGCUUGCGGGCGAUACGGGCAGACUUGAGUACUGCAGGGGAGACUGGAAUUCCUGGCGUAGCGGUGAAAUGCGCAGAUAUCAGGAGGAACACCGGUGGCGAAGGCGGGUCUCUGGGCAGUAACUGACGCUGAGGAGCGAAAGCAUGGGGAGCGAACAGG